rnacentral:rRNA from 1 species
AGAGUUUGAUCAUGGCUCAGAAAUCAACGCUGGCGGCGUGCCUAACACAUGCAAGUCGAACGCGAAAACCCCGCAAGGGGUUAGUAGAGUGGCGAACGGGUGAGUAACACGUGGGUGACCUACCUUCGAAUGGGGGAUAACGUCCCGAAAGGGACGCUAAUACCGCAUAACAUCCUGCCUUUGAACAGGCGGAGAUCAAAGCCGGGGAUCGCAAGACCUGGCGUUUGAAGAGGGGCCCGCGUCUGAUUAGCUAGUUGGUGAGGUAACGGCCCACCAAGGCGACGAUCAGUAUCCGGCCUGAGAGGGCGGACGGACACACUGGGACUGAGACACGGCCCAGACUCCUACGGGAGGCAGCAGUGGGGAAUUGUUCGCAAUGGGCGCAAGCCUGACGACGCAACGCCGCGUGGAGGAUGAAGGUCUUCGGAUUGUAAACUCCUGUUGCCCGGGACGAAAAGCUUCGACCUAACACGUCGAAGUCUGACGGUACCGGGUGAGGAAGCCCCGGCUAACUCUGUGCCAGCAGCCGCGGUAAUACAGAGGGGGCAAGCGUUGUUCGGAAUUACUGGGCGUAAAGGGCGCGUAGGCGGCCUUCUAAGUCGAACGUGAAAUCCCCGGGCUCAACCCGGGAACUGCGUCCGAUACUGGAAGGCUUGAAUCCGGGAGAGGGAUGCGGAAUUCCAGGUGUAGCGGUGAAAUGCGUAGAUAUCUGGAGGAACACCGGUGGCGAAGGCGGCAUCCUGGACCGGCAAUUGACGCUGAGGCGCGAAAAGCCAGGGGAGCAAACGGGAUUAGAUACCCCCGUAGUCC